CUUUUCAUUGUCAAAUGGUUACCAUUUUUUCUAACGCUCGUAAAUAACUUACAGCUAUUUUUGUGGUUAACUUUUAGCAACAUCAUCAUUAUUAUUGAUAUUCUUUCAGCCAUAAUGAAGCAGCAAACAUGUUUAUCGUGUGUUUGGUAGCUCUAACAACGUGCUUUCUCAAGAGAUAUUGCUCUCGUCUUGACUUCAAGAUUGUUUCAUCUUUAUCUUGUGUUGGAUAUAUCUCCCAACUGCUGCUAGUGCUUUCUCAUCGAGUUCUUGCUCUCUUGAUUUCAAGAUUGGUUAAUGCUGAAUCCAAAACUUCACGUUGCUUUCUUGAAUCACAUGUAUACAACUCAUGUGAACAACCUAACAUAUGCUGCUGUCAACAGUCAGUGAUUUAUCGCUGUAAGAAUUUUCUCUACUGCAUGAAGCUUUAGCGCUGAUUAAAUAGACGCUCGGCAAUCAGCAAUGAGAAGAAAACAGAGAACCAUUGUCAGUGAGAGACAACUGCGCAACAGAAUCAGGGAAGAUGCCGCUCACCUUGAAGCGGAAGGAGCACUAAUUCACGGCUCAAUAACACCACCUCUUCAACCGACACCGUUAGUCGAGAGUGAAGAAGAAGAACUUGGCGCAUCAUUUCACGAUUCACCGCCACCUUCUCACGAUUUUGUUGACUCAUCUCUUCAAGAAACAGUCGAUCUUCACCUUCUCACAGACUGCGAUUCCCAAUAUGAUAGUAGUCAAGAUUCAUACGACUCCUACGAAUAUGGAAGUGAUCCCGAAGGUGAACCUGAAGGAGAAGACCGUAGAGAAGAUUGGGAUUUGGAGAAUGGG